UGCUCGUGCCACGCCGGGUCCUCCGGUCGUCUCUAUCGUCGUAACCCCUUCCUUGCCGGGGCUCCUCGGCUGUCCCCACCGACCGCCUCUUAGCUGUCUCCUCUCUUCUAAAUUAAGGACACGUCGCGCGCCCGCUCGGUGUGAGGCAAGGGUUUUCCGCGCUGUGCAUUCACGCCUGCCCUGGUCCCUUCCCAUGUUACAGCCACUGAACUUGGGAGUCAGAAAGAUGGAGACCCGUGAUUCAUUUGCUGUGGAGUCUGUGGGUGACACCGUUUCUCAGCCUCAAUUUCUCAUGUGUGAAAUAAGAAUAAAUAAGAUAACACGUGGGAGUUGCUGCACUCGACACCUGGCUCACAGUGGGUGCUCAGUUAAAGCGGUGGCCGCUGUUGCUCUUUAGUGGCAUUAUUUCCACUCCUGCGGCCGCGGUACGCCUCGUCAGUCGGCGUGAACCAUGAGGGGUGCGCUGUUGAUUUAAUAGUCCUUUUCGGGAAAAAUAAAGUACUGUAUUAAGCAUA